GACGAACGCUGGCGGCGUGCCUAAUACAUGCAAGUCGAGCGAGCGGAACCAACAGAUUUACUUCGGUAAUGACGUUGGGAAAGCGAGCGGCGGAUGGGUGAGUAACACGUGGGGAACCUGCCCCUAAGUCUGGGAUACCAUUUGGAAACAGGUGCUAAUACCGGAUAAUAAAGCAGAUCGCAUGAUCAGCUUUUGAAAGGCGGCGUAAGCUGUCGCUAAGGGAUGGCCCCGCGGUGCAUUAGCUAGUUGGUAAGGUAACGGCUUACCAAGGCGACGAUGCAUAGCCGAGUUGAGAGACUGAUCGGCCACAUUGGGACUGAGACACGGCCCAAACUCCUACGGGAGGCAGCAGUAGGGAAUCUUCCACAAUGGACGCAAGUCUGAUGGAGCAACGCCGCGUGAGUGAAGAAGGUUUUCGGAUCGUAAAGCUCUGUUGUUGGUGAAGAAGGAUAGAGGUAGUAACUGGCCUUUAUUUGACGGUAAUCAACCAGAAAGUCACGG
rnacentral:rRNA from 2 species